UUUAACACGAAGAAAUUAAUACUUUUUAAAUAGUUGCUCUGUAUGAAAUUGAGUGACAUGUCCUUCAUAAUUUUUGUUACAACGGUAUAUCAUUCAGCUGUGGAUUAUUUUAACUCAAUUUUGUGUUUAAAUGUUACAUGUUUCUGUGCUGACUUUAGACGUGUUCAUUUUUUUUGAGAAGUUGAACGCUCUGCAUGCUGACCCCCGGUUCUAGACUAGUGAAAUGGCAAUACACACACUGGCAAUAGCUCUCGUGGUUGUGUUUUGGGUUUGUAGUACAUGCUUACAUGUUCAAGUCAGCGCUGAUACGAAGCACGCCUAUCGAGCUGACGCCAACUCUGAUGAAGACGGACAAAAAAUAACUAUAAGGAACGAUUGUUCAGACGAUCCUGACGGGGAAACCUGCAGUAGAGUCGACCCUGGGAACACAGAAGAUCUUCGGCCAAACUUGGAAAACAAUGGAAGCCUUUCUGAGACUGAAGACAAUGCAUUUAACUUUAAAUGGGACCCCAAAGGAUAUGUUUUAUUUUGUCCGUGUAUGGGUCGCUUUGGCAACCAAGGAGAACAUUACCUGGGAGCCAUGGCAUUUGCUAAAGCACUUGAUAGGACGUUAGUUCUCCCACCAUUCCGAACAUUUAAACAUGCGUCCUUUGGAGAGCUCUUUGACCCGGAGCCAAUCAGAGAGUUCCAUCGCACCAUACUCAUGGAGGAUUUCAUGGAGCAUCUGGCGCCAACAUUUUGGCCGCCUGGCAAACGAAUCGGAUACUGUCAUCUGCCGGAGAAAAGUGAAGUAGCUUGCGAUAUGAAAUAUGGAAACCCCUUUGGACCUUUCUGGAGUUAUUCCAACAUCGAAUUUGAUGACUGCAUCAAAUACCAAAUACACAACUUUGCUGAUGUAUCCAAUGAGGAUUCCAUGAAGAAGACUAAACAACAAUGGCAUGCCAGAUUCCCUCCAGAGGACCACCCAGUCCUAGCACUGCGUGGCUCCCCAGGCAGCUACCCUAUGCUUGCUGGCAACCGGGACCUCCAAAAAUACCUCCGAUGGACACCGGCCUUUUUUGCCGAUGCAGGGAAAUACAUCAAGGACACAUUUAAAGGGGAGGCUUUUGUGGGCAUUCAUCUGAGGAAUGGCAAAGACUGGAAGAAUGCUUGUGACCAUGCUGACGGCCAACGGAGAUUCAUGGCAUCCCCCCAGUGUUUGGAAAGCACUCCCAAUCUCAUGGUAACAAAGGAUAUCUGUCUACCAAAGGUGUCAAAGAUUUUAAAGUUGACCUCGCAGGUAUUUGAAAAAGUCCAUGCCAAGCAUCUCUUUAUUGCAACAGACAACGAACCUCACACUGAGGACUUCGAGGAACUUUUAAAUCCAAUUGGGGUCUCUGUCCAUUACCUCAAUCCCAAACUGGCCGAGACAGACCUGAUGAUCCUGGGCCAGGCAGACUUCUUCAUUGGUAACUGUAUCUCUUCUUUCACCUCAUUUGUUAAACGGGAGAGGGACGUAAACGGCAGGCCGUCCACAUUUUGGGGCAAACCUUUAGAGUUGUGACUGUAAAAUUAGAAAGUUACUUUUCUAUUUUUGUUCUGUUUGAUCUUUGAAGUUGUUCCAUUUUGGGUUAUUUUUCUUGAUGGAACUUGUGUUAUUUUCCAUAAGGCCCAAAAAAAAAUUCGGUCUCUGGUCAGACCAAAGUUCCGGA